rnacentral:lncRNA from 1 species
GGAAUAGUUUGCGUUUGUAUUGCUAAUUAACACAAGUUCCCAGUUAAGCGUGUGUGUGUGUGUGUGUGUGUGUAAGCAAAGGCCUAUACCCAAACAGCACUUCUAGAAAUACUAUCAAGUUUUAGCAUGCAGCAGGCAGGAGUUUGAUGUAAGCGCUUGAAUUAAAGGGUUACUUUGGGGAUUAGGAGAGACAUGACUCUGCGAGGACCACUUCCUUUCCAUAAGUACCAGCCUCUGCGUGCAGUUAUCUAAUGGAGGCCCAUGGAGAAUAAUCUGGAAACUAGAAGGCCUCGGGGAUCUCUAGUACACAAAAUUAAGACAAAAACAAACUCAGUGAAUGCAAAAAGAAAAAAAAUCAAACUACUUUUAAGAGUGCUAUGAAGCCAUCUAGGAAUGUUAAGAAAAUCCUACACACCUACUGGUGACUGUCUGCUCACAGAAUCUGAAUUCCAAAUGAGGACGAUGGGUACUCUCUCCAGAUCCUUGGGCACACAGGGAUGAGUGCUUAAUGCAGAAUCAACAUGCAGUUUCCACAAGAUGGGGAAGAAAACUUCAGGAAAGACAACAGCUAACAAACUAAGAAAUGACAGUUUAAAUUGGAAUUUGGAGAGCACCUUGUAAAUUGUUUGCACAGAUGUGGCAUUAUUUACAUGAUAAUUUCAUGCUCCUCAGCAUGCAGAGGAAAAUAAAACACAUUAGAUGCCAUAAUGGGAUCAUUAAUUAUAUAAAUGGAUCAAAGGUUGUUUCUAGAACAUUCCUGUUGCUUCAUUAUUGUUGUGCAAUUGGAAAUCUUAUUUAAUCCCCUCCUGGGAAAGACAGGUCAGAAAGACAAAGAGUUUCCUAGAUUUCCUAUAGGAAGAAUGAUGUCUACUACUGUCAAAAAUGUUUGAGGUACUCAGUUUCAUUUAUCCACAAGUCAAAGAAUUGGACCUGUUUUAGGACUAAACAGUUUCCACUCCUGUAAGAACAGACUAGAGCUCUGUCUAUGAUCCUUAUUUUGAAAUAAGUAUCAAACAAAGAAAUAAGCAUGUAUCAACCAAAAAGCACUGAGCUACUUUAACUUGAUAUUGCUACUGUUUCCUCAACCUCAGCUGAAUCAACUCCAUUUAAGUAUCAAUGCUAUGGAAGCAAAAAAGAGAGAGAGAGAGAGAGAAAAAAAAAAAGAUAGAUCACGCUGUGGCAUGCUCCAUUUCAGAAACACAGGAGGAAUUCUCUUCCCCCCUGCACUCACAUUUCAUCACUUACUUGCAAUUUCUGUAGAGUACUCUCAAACCAGGAAAGAUGGGGAGGCCAUGGGAUAGAUUCACAUUCAAGAGAUUCAAGACUCACCCUUCGGCCUGAAAAAUACUCUGUGUUGUCAAUCUGUAAAUGGAAUUAUAGCUCCACCAGCAAGAAGUCCUGAUGCCAAAGUGCCUGGGUGAACUGAAAUUAAAUGCCAAUGAAAAAUCCCUCUCUGCACAUCACCCUCCAUCUGCACGAGCCUUCCUAGCCUCUCCCAUUUGUCUUUAUCUUCAUUUAGAGCCAUGUAGUAUACUGCCUUUCACUCAAGGCACACUCCCUCACAGUCGUGAGUGGGUACGUAUUGUCCUUGUCACCCAUGGAGCUACAUGCGGGAAAGAAAUUACUUAUUGAUUUUCCUUUCUGUGGAAUGGUGUCUUUGGCUGGUUUCUUGGACCAGGACUCCAGCACUGGGGACAUAGUGCACCAUGCCGGGCUGUCCUGCUCCCCUGUCAGCCCUUCUAAGCAGCUGCUACUGCCAGGUCACCUGCUCCUAACUCUUUUGAUAAGAAAAAGGAAAGAGUAUGUACUUUGGAAAUUGAAACAGUGAACAAAAAGUAAUCUCCUUCCAUCUGAGCAGAUGGAACAGCAUGGUGUGAACUUUGUUUUACUCCUUGGUGCUAAGAAAAGUCUGGCUGGGAUGGGGUCUUGGUCUGUUUGGUGUUUCUAAGCCAGAAUCCCUGAGUCUGGGUAAUUUUUUUAAACAUAUAAAUUUACUUUUUCUAGUUAUGGAGGAAUGGGAAGUCCCACAUCAAGGAGCCAGCAUCUGGAAAGGGCCUUCUUGUCAUCAUCCCAUGGCAGAAGGGAGAGAGAGCAAGACAUCAAACUUGCUUUUGUAAGAAACCCUCGUACAAUGAAAUGGUUUUCUGAUAACAUUAAUCUAUUCAAGAGAACAGAGCCCUCAUGAGCACUCCCAAGACUGUUGUGUUGGGAAUUAAGUUUCCAACACCUAGACUUUGGAGGACACAUGCAAACUGCAGCAGAGGGCUCACCUGAAAGGAAGCUGACAUGCAGACAUGCAGGAAUGAACUUGGAGCCAUGUGCUCCGUGACACACAGGAGGACAUAAACCUGGGAAGGUGGGGGAACUCAGAGAAAGGGUCCUUCACGGCAGGCUGGAGUUUGUGCUUUACCCAGAGGCUGGCUAACUGUGGCCCGUGUUCCAGAUCUGGCCCACCCCCUGGUUUUGCAAAGUUUUUACUGGAAUGCAGCCACACUCGGUCUUCUAGGUAUUGCCUCACAGAUGAUUUUUUUUUGCACUACAGCCGAGUUGAAUGGUUGCAAGAAAGACUGCCCAGACCACAAAGCCUAAAAUGUUCACCAUCUGCCUCUUUAAAGAAAACUUUGUGAGUCCCUGUUUUAGCUACAGAGGGCCACUGGGACCUUUCAACAGUUGCUGUCUGUGAUGGGAGAGCCAGGGUCCUGCCUGGUCUCCCACACCACCCACCAGCUUCCCCUGUCCAUCUCAGCCCCACCCCAGCUGCCCAACCUGCCCUGCAUGGUAGGAAGGAGGAGGCUCAGUCCUUCUGAGGAGAUAAACAAAGACCGACCAAUGAGGACAAGCCAAGAGUUGGCUUCUGAGCUCAUUUCAGUUAGGGAGUCUGCCACCACCACUUGAUAUUCAGAAAGACUCAAAGACAAGAGGGGUGGGAAGGCAUUACCAUGGAGGAAGUAGAAGGCUCCAGGUGCACCCUGUUGAGAUGAGCAAGAUGAAGGGGCCAACUAGAAGCCAGGCGUCCACGUGACUGCUUAUGGGAACACGUUGGCUUUCUCCGGCUGAUCCAAAGUUGGAAGUGGGAGGAUGGGCAUUUGAGAUCCGUUGCUACAGCAGCUCUUGUUUGGCUUCCUGAUUUGUCCCUGGAGACAGUGGUCUGGCUGUCAACAGGUCUGACUUAGAGAGCAGGCUGAUUCCCUGGGUGGACUGCUGCAGGCUGGGGGUUAGUUCUGUUUUUCUACGUGGUCUGGCCACGUGUGAAUCUGUCUCUCCUGUUGAGCCAGGUGACAAUGGUCUUCUGCUGAUGAUGGCUGAAGAAUGCAGCACACCAUCCAUCCAGCCCAGCACACACUCCACCAGGGCACAACUGGCUGAGAGGCUCAGUCUACGUGGUUCGUUUUCCCACUCACCAUAAAGGAAUUCUAUUUGGAGAUGAUAACUCUGGUCCCAGAACCCUGAAGAAGUCGUCUGGCUCUCCAAGGUUCCUAUGUAAAGACCCACCUCACCUUCAUAGGACAUUCUCUCCAGACCUCCAUGUCCCCAGACCCAAACAAAGGCCACAGGUCCAGAGUCAGGUGCAUCCCCUUCUGAUUACCAACAGCAUCCCCACCACCACACCAGGGCCACGAGCAAGAAGUCCUGAUGCCAAAGUGCCU